rnacentral:lncRNA from 1 species
GAAGAGGAAAGGAAAGAACACAAACCCUAGGUGGAAAAAUUGAAGAAAAAGUAUGGGAUUUUAAGGGAUUAAGCUAAUAAAGGUAAAAUUUUGUGAUUUUAUCUUGUGAUUUACACUACCCAUGCUUUCUUUUUCAUUUUCCAUGCUUAUAACUCAAGUUUGCAUGAUGAACCCAUGUUGGCCGAAUUUGAUAGGAGAGGUUUUGAGCAUUGAUUGUGCUAGAUUUCAAGCUAAUUAAGUGUUUUUGGUUGUUUGGUAAUGGAAAGUAUGAAAAUCUAGCAAGGAAUCACUUUGUUCUUCACAAACCCACAAGAAGCCAAAUUUUCUAGGGAGGAUAUUGAGGCUGAAAUUGAUGAUAUUUCAUGAUAUUUUGGUGGUAUUUAAUGAUUGGUGAGGCUAAAAAUUUAAUGGGAAAUUUUGGCAUGAAAAUUUGAAUUUUUACCUAAUGUAUAGACAUGUGCGAUUUAUGGUUCGGACUGAUAAAUUGAAUCAUAUUCACAGUUAUUGAGGUAUUUUAAGUAUAAUUGGAGUGUAGAAAGUGAAAGAAAUCGAUUUGAAGUUAAAUUGGAGGUUUUAGCCAAUUACACCGAGAAUAGUGCGAAUUAGGUUGAAUACCGUAUUUAAACGGCUAUUCAGACAUUUUGCAUCACAUUUCGUGCAUUCAUAUAGAUUUAUAGAGCUUGAAAUAGUUUAUGAUAAAUUGACACAAUUUAUUGAAAUUCGUGUCACGUAUGAUGUAUAGGCGGUGAGCCCUUUAACAAGGGUAAAGAGAUUAUACCCGAAGAUUGAGAAUAGGAGUAUAUUGAACUCCUAGUACUGUGAGUAACCUUACUAUCGUCUUAAUUAUCUAAAGUGGUUUUUAUCUGAUUUUGUGAAUUUAAUGGAAAAUGAAUUAAAUGAUUAAUUUUUCGGUUUUAUAAACCAAAUGUGAUUUAAAGAAAUGAUUUCAUAAAAUUGUUUUAAAAUUGAAUAAUUGAAAAUAGAAUAAUUGGAUACCAUUUGAAGUAUUGUGAAUUUAUGGUUCUAAUUGAUUGGCUUAUGACAAUAUUGGCAUGAAUGACUAAAUUGGUAUUUGUGUUGAAAUGUAUAAACUGUUGUUUCCCUUGAUAGGCUGGAUAAUGAUAAAAUUGCCAUGUUAUGCUAUUGAAUUUUUAUUGUAUGGUGGGUUUAGCUUGCUGCAGUGGGCUUAUUCUGUGGACUAGCCUAUUAGAGGGGCACGAAACCUGGUCAUAUUCUUACCUCAAUUGGAGAGGCGAGUAGGGUAACUCUCGAGGUAUAACUUUAGAGUUCACUUCACGCAAAACCACCUUGUGAUGAUGAACUCCACUAACGCUAAGGAAUGGCUAUGUUUUUAAAAUAAAAACAUGAUUUAUGCGUACAUAACUUUUUAACAGCCUUGGCAGACUCGGUUUGGGAUAGCCCUCGGCCAAGGUAUCCCUGAUGAUUGAGUAUGAUAAUGAUUUUGGCACGAGCCAAAGUUUUAAGAAAUUCAUAAGCCAUGUUAAUUACUCGAUUUAUAUGAAUUGAUUUUAUUUGGUUGAAACAAGUUGAAAGGUGAUGAAUUUCAGUAUGUUAAACUGUUUUAUCUGUCUCCAUUUACUCAACUUUAGAUGGUUUAGAUGGUAUCUGUUUACUCACUGAGAUUUUAUAAUCUCACCACCCUCAUUUUCAACCAUUUCAGGCCCAAGGUAGCUUGUGGAUAGUAGAUAUCGUCAAGGAUUUUAGUCGGCUUUACUUCUCCAAAAAUUGUAAGUUUACUGCCUUUGUGCACUUCUGUUCCUUGUGAGCCCACGAGUCACUGUAAAGUAAAUUUCAUAUCCCGGUUAUCUGUAUUAUAGUACGUAUGAAUUUAUUUAGCUUUUAGAUUACAAAAA